GGCUCGGCGUGCCGCGACCUGCGGGGAUUCCAGGAGGAGGGCGGGGCGUGGCGAUGGCCGAGGAUGCCGGUCGCCCUGGCGUGCCCGCCCGGCCCCAGGACCAGUGCGUCCCGAAAUAGCCGCCGACAGAGUGACACUACCAUAAGAGAAGAGGCAGAAACAUGCAAAAUUGCUACCCCUGAAGAUGGCAGAAAGGGACCACAUACGAAGAAAGGAAGCCUCUAGAAGAUGGAAAAGGGCUGGAGAGAUGGCUUAGCAGUUAAGCGCUUGCCUGUGAAGUCUGAGGACCCUGG